rnacentral:rRNA from 1 species
UUCCGGUUGAUCCUGCCGGAGGCUACUGCUAUCGGGGCUCGAUUAAGCCAUGCGAGUUAAAUGUUCUUCGUGAACAUAGCGAACUGCUCAGUAACACGUGGAUAACCUACCCUUAGGACCGGAAUAACCCCGGGAAACUGGGGAUAAUACCGGAUAAGCCAUAGACGCUGGAAUGCCCUAUGGUUCAAAGCUCCGGCGCCUAAGGAUGGAUCUGCGGUCUAUCAGGUUGUAGUGGGUGUAACGUACCUACUAGCCGACGACGGAUACGGGUUGUGAGAGCAAGAGCCCGGAGAUGGAUUCUGAGACACGAAUCCAGGCCCUACGGGGUGCAGCAGGCGCGAACACUUUACAAUGCGGGAAACCGCGAUAAGGGAACCCCGAGUGCCAGCAUCAAAUGUUGGCUGUCCGGAUGAUUAAAAAUCAUUUGUUAGCAAGGGCCGGGCAAGACCGGUGCCAGCCGCCGCGGUAACACCGGCGGCCCGAGUGGUAGCCGUUUUUAUUGGGUCUAAAGGGUCCGUAGCCGGCCUGAUCAGUCCUUUGGGAAAUCUGGCAGCUUAACUGUCAGGCUUCUAAGGGAUACUGUCAGGCUUGGGACCGGAAGAGGUAAGGGGUACUCCAGGGGUAGGAGUGAAAUCUUGUAAUCCCUGGGGGACCAUCUGUGGCGAAGGCGCCUUACCAGAACGGGCCCGACGGUGAGGGACGAAAGCUAGGGGAGCACACCGGAUUAGAUACCCGGGUAGUCCUAGCUGUAAACGAUGCUCGCUAGGUGUCAGACACGGUGCGACCGUGUUUGGUGCCGCAGGGAAGCCGUUAAGCGAGCCACCUGGGAAGUACGGUCGCAAGGCUGAAACUUAAAGGAAUUGGCGGGGGAGCACU